AAAGACUCUCCAGAUAUUGGGGACAUCAUCACGACUGUCACAGACGUCCUCCUCCUGUGGAUUGUACCAUAUCUCCAAGGUAGGAGCAGACAAUGCAAAACCAACAGUACGAGUGCUAAGGAGUGUGAUUCAUUCAAGGUUCUGAAGGAGUGUGCACGGAAUAUAGACUAAAAAAUAGUACACUUAGAGAGAGCGCUGCUUUGCCCUAACCUCUUUGGAGAUCCCCUGAAGGCUACAGCAUCAGAGGAAUUUGUAGACCAGUGCAUUGAGGAGGUUAUUGAUAUCAAGGAAAACCUCAAAAAAUGAUUGAAGAAACAAAAAAUAGCCUAGAAGCUCAGAAAAAAUUCAAUGAAUGGUUGUCUGCAACAAAGAAUUCACUGAUCCAGCAAGUAGAGGAGAUAGAAAGCCACUUACAGAAAUAUGGCUAUAAACCUUCACAAAAGAAC